rnacentral:rRNA from 1 species
GACGAACGCUGGCGGCGUGCUUAACACAUGCAAGUCGAACGGAAAGGCCCUGCUUUUGUGGUGUGCUCGAGUGGCGAACGGGUGAGUAACACGUGAGUAACCUGCCCUUGACUUUGGGAUAACUUCAGGAAACUGGGGCUAAUACCGGAUAGGAGCUCCUGCUGCAUGGUGGGGGUUGGAAAGUUUCGGCGGUUGGGGAUGGACUCGCGGCUUAUCAGCUUGUUGGUGGGGUAGUGGCUUACCAAGGCUUUGACGGGUAGCCGGCCUGAGAGGGUGACCGGCGACAUUGGGACUGAGAUACGGAGCAGACUCCUACGGGAGGCAGCAGUGGGGAAUAUUGCACAAUGGGCGGAAGCCUGAUGCAGCAACGCCGCGUGCGGGAUGACGGCCUUCGGGUUGUAAACCGCUUUCGCCUGUGACGAAGCGUGAGUGACGGUAAUGGGUAAAGAAGCACCGGCUAACUACGUG